rnacentral:rRNA from 1 species
CAGUAGCCGCGGUAAUACGGAGGGUGCAAGCGUUAAUCGGAAUUACUGGGCGUAAAGCGCACGCAGGCGGUCUGACAAGUCAGAUGUGAAAUCCCCGGGCUUAACCUGGGAACUGCAUUUGAAACUGUCAGGCUGGAGUCUUGUAGAGGGGGGUGGAAUUCCAGGUGUAGCGGUGAAAUGCGUAGAGAUCUGGAGGAAUACCGGUGGCGAAGGCGGCCCCCUGGACAAAGACUGACGCUCAGGUGCGAAAGCGUGGGGAGCAAACAGGAUUAGAUACCCCUGUAGUCCCUGUCUCUUAUAU